rnacentral:rRNA from 1 species
GAUGAACGCUGGCGGCGUGCCUAAUACAUGCAAGUCGAGCGAACAGACGAGGAGCUUGCUCCUCUGACGUUAGCGGCGGACGGGUGAGUAACACGUGGAUAACCUACCUAUAAGACUGGGAUAACUUCGGGAAACCGGAGCUAAUACCGGAUAAUAUAUUGAACCGCAUGGUUCAAUAGUGAAAGACGGUUUUGCUGUCACUUAUAGAUGGAUCCGCGCCGCAUUAGCUAGUUGGUAAGGUAACGGCUUACCAAGGCAACGAUGCGUAGCCGACCUGAGAGGGUGAUCGGCCACACUGGAACUGAGACACGGUCCAGACUCCUACGGGAGGCAGCAGUAGGAAUCUUCCGCAAUGGGCGAAAGCCUGACGGAGCAACGCCGCGUGAGUGAUGAAGGUCUUCGGAUCGUAAAACUCUGUUAUUAGGGAAGAACAAAUGUGUAAGUAACUAUGCACGUCUUGACGGUACCUAAUCAGAAAGCCACGGCUAACUACGU